rnacentral:rRNA from 1 species
AGCAGCCGCGGUAAUUCCAGCUCCAAUAGCGUAUAUUAAAGUUGUUGCAGUUAAAAAGCUCGUAGUUGAAUUUCGGGGUCAGCAGGUCGGUCGUGCCACUGGUAUGAACUGGUCUCGCUGAUCCCUCCCUCUUGACGAACUGUGAUGCCAUUAAUUUGGUGUCGCAGGGAAUCAGGACUGUUACUUUGAAAAAAUUAGAGUGUUUAAAGCAGGCUUAAGCUUGAAUACAUUAGCAUGGAAUAAUGAAAUAGGACGUUUGAUCCUAUUUUGUUGGUUUCUAGGAUUGACGUAAUGAUUAAUAGGGAUAGUUGGGGGCAUUAGUAUUCAAUUGUCAGAGGUGAAAUUCUUGGAUUUAUUGAAGACUAACUACUGCGAAAGCAUUUGCCAAGGAUGUUUUCAUUAAUCAAGAACGAAAGUUAGGGGAUCGAAGACGAUCAGAUACCGUCGUAGUCUUAACCAUAAACUAUGCCGACUAGGGAUCGGACGAAGUUAAUUUUAUAAUGACGCGUUCGGCACCUUACG